AGGUUGGUGUGCCGAACGGUGAAGGCAGCGGACCGUAACUCCGUGACAUUAGAAACGUUGUAAGUUCGAAUCUUACUCAACCUACCA
rnacentral:tRNA from 1 species